AUUUAACGCUGGCGGCAGGCCUAACACAUGCAAGUCGAGCGAGUGGCGGACGGGUGUGUAAUGUAUGGGGACUUGCCUGAUGGAGGGGGAUAACUACUGGAAACGGUAGCUAAUCCCGCUACUCAUCACAUGAACCCAUAUGGGAUUCGCUUGUAGGUGAGGUAACGGAUCACAUAGGCGACGAUCCCUAGCGGGUCUGAGAGGAUGAUCAGCCACACUGGAACGUAGACACGGCCCAGACUCCUACGGGAGGCAGCAGUGGGGAAUAUUGCACAAUGGGCGCAAGCCUGAUGCAGCCAUGCCGCGUGUAUGAUGAAGGCCUUCGGGGUGUAAAGUACUUUCAGUCGGGAGGCGUUACCGACAGAGGAAGCACCGGCUAACUCCGUGCCAGCAGCCGCGGUAAUUC
rnacentral:rRNA from 1 species